AAAUCUUCAAAGUAAACCUUUUGUUAAUUCAAUUGGUUCCUUACUUUGGUAUUGGAGGUCUUUGCAGUUUCACAACUGCUCCUCUUUGUUCAUUAGCUGGAUCUCAGUGUUAUGCUUGGUUCCACUCGGCGUGAUAAGUAUCUAUCGCUGAGGACACUUGUAAAAAGGUGGCCAAGGUAAACGCAGAUGAACCGCUUCUAACAGUCCAUUGACUUGGACAAUAAAUAUUUAUG
rnacentral:misc_RNA from 1 species